AUGAGAGGGCUUACCCAGAGACACACUACAAGAAACACUAUUCAAACCCUACACCUCAUGCCUCUAGUAAAACAACAUCAGAGCCUAUGGAUAUUGGUUUCCUGAAGGGGCCCCUAUCUACUCAAGAGAAAAACAGAAGACGUGAGAACAACCUAUGUUUAUAUUGUGCCUCAGACGAGCAUACAGUGAGAGAGUGUCCUUCUUUGCAGAAACAACGAAAGGUGGGAUCUCCUACGAGUCAACGUUCCAGCCAUUAUUGACUCUGGUGCUACAGCAUGUUAUAUAGAUAAGGAAUUCACUUAUAAAAAUAAAAUACCACUGGUGCAGAAAAA